AAGGCUGCCCUCCAGUGAUCAAAGACUCAUGUCUUUGGAAAACAGCUCCUGGGAAUGUCUUGUCACAGCUCUGAUGCAUCUUAGGACUAGCAAGCAUCUGAAGUGGGAUGUUUACCUGUCCAUGGCCAGGUGUUCUGGACAGCAGAAAGCCACACUGGGACAAAGACAGAGGAAGAAAGAACAGGAUCAGAAAACAAUGCCAGGAGAAUAGACAGAUGAGAGGUUUGUCAAUCAGGAGAAGAAAGAGCAAGCUGCAGCCCAGACCAAGAGCAGAACAAUACUCAAACAACAAACAAUUUCAAAGAUUUCCUAAGAAGCCCUUGUAAAAUGACCUGGACUCCUUCCUUCUUUGUCUGGAACAGCUGAAAGAGUUUCAACAGCGAGGUACCAGGAAGAGCAAAUUCCAACAGAGAGUGAAGCAGUUGUAUAGUGAGCUAAUUUAAAAGAAACAAUCUAUGGGGAGAACACAUUGCCUCUCCCAACGUGUCC